rnacentral:rRNA from 1 species
UGGGCACUCUGGAAGAACUGCCGGUGAUAAGCCGGAGGAAGGUGUGGAUGACGUCAAGUCCUCAUGGCCCUUACGGGUUGGGCUACACACGUGCUACAAUGGUGGUGACAAUGGGAUAAUCCCCAAAAGCCAUCUCAGUUCGGAUUGGGGUCUGCAACUCGACCCCAUGAAGUCGGAAUCGCUAGUAAUCGCGUAACAGCAUGACGCGGUGAAUACGUUCCCGGGCCUUGUACACACCGCCCGUCACACCAUGGGAAUUGGUUCUACCCGAAGGUGGUGCGCCAACCAGCAAUGGAGGCAGCCAACCACGGUAGGAUCAGUGACUGGGGUG